GGCAACUGCCAAGUAAGGUGGUGUAACUAUGGCUGAGAAACUAAUUUCGUUGAUUAUCGCACCGCUACUUGUGGGUCUAGUACUUUUGCUAGUUGAUCGUUGGUUAGACGAUUAGCCGAUAAUCUAAGCAGUUGCCUUCUAACUCCAACGCUGAAGUCGCAACAGCGCAAAA
rnacentral:ncRNA from 1 species